AUCCCAAGCAGGCUCCCAGCCGUCAGCGCAGAGCCCAGCAAGGGGCUGGAACUCACCAAUCAUGAGUUCAGAACCUGAGCUGAAAUUAAGAAUCCCAUGCUUAAACGGCUGAGCCGCCUAGGCGCCCCAGAUUUUUGAUUAGGAGGAUGUGAGGUGGCCAUGCCCUUCCCAGAAGGGGCAACACUUUCUUUCUUUUUUUUUUUUUUAAUGGAAAGCAGUAAAUGUUUUUGGUAUUGCGACAGGUUCUUUAGGGUUCUGCGGGACUAGGAAAAUGCCUCCUCUGGUGGCUGGGCUGGCAGGCAAGGUGGGCUGCAGAGGGCAGGUCAGGACUUUCCUUCCUCUCUCUGGCUAUGCUGUGGCUAUUGAAACAAGGGUGGGGGGGAGCAACUGACAGCCCUCAUUAGGCCUGAAGCUGUGAGUCUGACUGUGUCCAGCGGGUCUAGAGUGGCCCAGCAGGGGAUGCCGGGAACCUCAUGCUGGCUCUGGUUUAUGGUAAUAUGAACGAGUGGAUCAGAAUGUCAGCGGUGGAAGGGACCUUUGGGAUCCUUUCAUCAAUCCAACCUUCCUUUACAGAUGAAGAAAAUGAGAGCCAGAGAAGAGAAGGAUUUCUUCAAGGUCACACGGUGAAUAUGUCACAGCCAGAACUAGAACUCAGGUCCCUUCACGAAUGGCUUGGUGGCUUUCCUGUUACACAUGGACCCCGAAGGUAUUUCAGACUUCAUGCCUGGGUCCUUCAUGUUGCACACGAGUGUGCUUUCAGCCAGAAUUUUGUGGUGCUCAGUGGAAGUCUGGAGCCUGUAUGUUUCUUCAUCUCUCACCACUGCACCGGUUGGCCCCACCCUCAGAUCAAACAGCAUGAUGGCCCUGGAGAGAUGAGCUGGAGUAGAUGAGGCAGGUGAAUGGUGCUGUGUGAUGUCUGCUCUGUUUUCUCUUUGUCUCAGCUCAGGCUGCUGUGAUAGCAAGAUAUCAGAGACUGGGUAGCUUAUAAACAACAGAAAUUUAUUUCACUGUUCUGGAGGCUGAAAGUCCAAGAUCAAGGCACCAACAGAUUGGGCGUCUGGCUUACAGAUGGUCAUUUUCUCCCUGUGUCCUCACAUGGCCUCUUUUAUAAGGGCACUAAUCCCCUUCAUGAGGGCCCCACCCUCAUGACCUAAUCAUCUCCCAAAGGCCCUGCCUCCUAAUGCCAUCACAUUGGGGAUUAGGUUUCAAUUUAUCAAUUUGGGGAGAACAGAAACAUUCAGUCUACAGCAUUCUCCUUCUCAGCUACUCUUUGGGAUCACAGCUGUCCCACACCCCUUCCCUCCACUCUCCUCCAUCUCCCCUAGUAAGUCCUGCCCAACUAUCAAGGCCAGCUCACAUGCCACCUCGUCAGUGAGGGCUUUGGCGCUUGACUGGGGAAGUGAGUUUCAAUCAUCCGCAAGCCUUGCCCACGCGCCUUCCUUGAGUUCCUCUGGAGAACUCGCUCAUGUUAUGUGGUUUGGUGGGGCUGUCAAUCAUAGCACUGCCCCUGCCAGAGGCAUGGGCACACAACAAGGGCUGAUAAAUCAGAGGAUCCAACCUCACUGGCCACAGAGAUUGGAUCAGUGAUGGGUAUGUGACUCAGAUAGGAC
ensembl:lncRNA